GACGAACGCUGGCGGCGUGCCUAAUACAUGCAAGUAGAACGCACAGUUUAUACCGUAGCUUGCUACACCAUACACUGUGAGUUGCGAACGGGUGAGUAACGCGUAGGUAACCUGCCUGGUAUCGGGGGAUAACUAUUGGAAACGAUAGCUAAUACCGCAUAAUAUUGAUUAUUGCAUGAUAAUUGAUUGAAAGAUGCUAUUGCAUCACUACCAGAUGGCCCUGCGUUGUAUUAGCUAGUAGGUGAGGUAACGGCUCACCUAGGCGACGAUACAUAGCCGACCUGAGAGGGUGGUCGGCCACACUGGGACUGAGACACGGCCCAGACUCCUACGGGAGGCAGCAGGAGGGAAUCUUCGGCAAUGGACGAAAGUCUGACCGAGCAACGCCGCGUGAGUGAAGAAGGUUUUCGGAUCGUAAAGCUCUGUUGUAAGAGAAGAACGGGUGUGAGAGUGGAAAGUUCACACUGUGACGGUAUCUUACCAGAAAGGGACGGCUAACUACGUG
rnacentral:rRNA from 1 species